GAAGUGCUGAAGGAUCACAAACCAGAUGUGGAGAACACACUAUCUUCUUGGAUGGUGGUUACAAGAUUAACUCGAAGAAGUUUUUGCUUUUUGUGUAUUAUUGGAAAUAUCUAGACAGAUAAAAUCAAUUAAGACAAUAUUUAAAAGGCGCUUUAAUUCAAUAGAAACAACUUGAUUUUCUUCAAUAUCUAUUGAAGUUACAAUGGCUUGAUUAACUUGAUCAACUUAUUGCUAUAGAAUAGGCUCUUCAACAUGUGA
rnacentral:misc_RNA from 1 species